rnacentral:lncRNA from 1 species
GUUUUCACAACCUGUUCAUCAAACUGGUUCUUCUACAGUGCUCUCGACCGCCAAAGAAAUCUUCACUACACCCACUACUUCUCAACACUGUCAGAUCCCUGCGAAACCAUAAGAAGAAGAAACUCCUCUGCUAACGGAAGCGGUGUUGGAGGCGUGAUCUUUGGCACUCAGACGCUGAAUCUUCUCCAUCUCAUAUUAAUCGGCCCAGUGAUCGAAAACUCUAUCAAAACUUCAUAACUUCCCAUAGGGCAAACUCGCUCUUUCUCACUCGGCCAUGUGGAGAAAUUCGCUGAGUUUUUCAUCCAAACUCGCACGCUCCAAUUCGAAUUAUUAACUCCACUCUUGUUCCGCACUUCCUCAAAACCUUCUUAUCGUGGCCUUCCUAGCCGAUCUAAUUCCACAAGCCUACAGUCCACAUUGACAGCCGUUCCGGUAGGUGGUCCGAUUUCGGUGUGGAAGGCUAGGGAUGUGGCGUAAUUGGCCAAGCAUUGCGACUUCUGUUAUUGGGAGCUCUCAAAAGCUCAUCUGAGGUGUGUUUAAACUGGUUUACACCUUUAUUUUUUUUUUUCCAACAAAUUUCAAUUUUGAGAUGUUGGAAUUUCGUGACCUCAAGCAUAAUGCUUGAAACGUAGAUCCAUCUUAUUGGAGAAAUUGGUUGGUUUAGAACAUAUUUUAAGCGCAUUUUGCGGUCAAAUUGCUCAAUUUUCUGGUUGCUAAUGGAUUUCUAAUAUUUGUUUUUGCUAAUUGAAACGUGCUAUUAAUGUACUUUGUGAUGUGUAUUUGAGAGCUUCGGCAAUAUGUUCAGAUUUCAAAGAGCAAAUGUAAAAAUAAAAGAAGGCCUAUUGACUGUGAUUACCCUAUAUGUAUGUCUGUUUGCAAUAGUUUUUGUCACUUAAAAUAGAUCAAAGCUACUUUUAUUUGACAUAACUGGCUGAAGAAUUUACAACUUCUGCAUUUGGAGUAGAGGCCCUACAGGGUAAGGGAGAGAAAGGUAGUAGUUGAUAAUCUGCACAACAUGCUACCUACAAUGCAUAGUUUUGUCCAUUUUCCUCCACUCUACUAUAAUUAAUUAUGAACUUUUUGUGCUUCCAGUCCUCAACUCUACUGCUGCCGCCGGCGGGUCGCCUUGAACAGGCAAGCAAUUUUGAUUUGCAUACACAUGGAAGAAUGUAUUCUUCAUUUGUUUAUUUUUUAUUUUUUUGUAAUAAAAGUGUUAAAAGUGCUGAUUUUAUUUUUUUUAUUUUUUAUUUUUUACAGGUUAUCUUGUUAAGUUGAAUUUUCUUCAAUUAACAUUGUGAUGUUAAAUUUCUUAUGUAAUAUGCCAGAAGUCAUGUCCUUAUUGGAACAGGUAAAAAUGGCCGGACAGUAGAACUUUCUCGCAAUUCUAGGGGUGAAAGUGGUGGUGGUGGCUAUUGUGGAGGGCAUGGUCAUUCUGGUUCUGACUCGAAAUGCUACGAGUGUGGUGAGCCUGACCAUUAUGCCCGUGAGUGCAGGAACUGUAGAGUUUCUGGAAGGCAUAAGGGUCAUACUCUCCCUAGAUAUUGCUGAAGCCCAAGCUAUCGUAGAAGGUAAUAUAUAUUAGGUUGCUAGGUUUUUGGUUUUUGGGAA